CUUCGCUGACGAGUGGCGGACGGGUGAGUAAUGUCUGGGAAACUGCCUGAUGGAGGGGGAUAACUACUGGAAACGGUAGCUAAUACCGCAUAACGUCGCAAGACCAAAGAGGGGGACCUUCGGGCCUCUUGCCAUCGGAUGUGCCCAGAUGGGAUUAGCUAGUAGGUGGGGUAACGGCUCACCUAGGCGACGAUCCCUAGCUGGUCUGAGAGGAUGACCAGCCACACUGGAACUGAGACACGGUCCAGACUCCUACGGGAGGCAGCAGUGGGGAAUAUUGCACAAUGGGCGCAAGCCUGAUGCAGCCAUGCCGCGUGUAUGAAGAAGGCCUUCGGGUUGUAAAG
rnacentral:rRNA from 1 species